rnacentral:rRNA from 1 species
CGGGUGAGUAACACGUAUGCAACCUGCCUGCCACAGCCGGAUAAUCGGGAGAAAUUCCGUCUAAUACGGCAUAAUGCAUCGACGGGACAUCCUGUUGGCGCCAAAGGUUGAUUCCGGUGGCGGAUGGGCAUGCGUCGCAUUAGUUAGUUGGCGGUGUAACGGACCACCAAGACGACGAUGCGUAGGGGUUCUGAGAGGAAGGUCCCCCACACUGGUACUGAGACACGGACCAGACUCCUACGGAAGGCAGCAG